rnacentral:rRNA from 1 species
GGAGGAUCAUUAUCGUAGGGCUUCGGCCCUGUCGAGAUAGAACCCUUGCCUUUUUGAGUACCUUUCGUUUCCUCGGCAGGCUCGCCUGCCAAUGGGGACCACAAAAAACACUUUGCAGUACCUGUAACAGUCUGAACAAACAAAACAAAAAUUAAAACUUUCAACAACGGAUCUCUUGGUUCUGGCAUCGAUGAAGAACGCAGCGAAAUGCGAUAAGUAGUGUGAAUUGCAGAAUUCAGUGAAUCAUCGAAUCUUUGAACGCACAUUGCGCCCUUUGGUAUUCCUUAGGGCAUGCCUGUUCGAGCGUCAUUUAAACCUUCAAGCUAAGCUUGGUGUUGGGUGACUGUCCGCUUCACUGCGGACUCGCCUCAAAAUUAUUGGCGGCCGGUACAUUGGCUUCGAGCGCAGCAGAAACGCGAACUCGGGCCCGUCGUAUUGGCUCCCAGAAGCUAUCUUCACAAUUUUGACCUCGGAUCAGGUAGGGAUACCCGCUGAACUUAAGCAUAUCAAUAAGCGGAGAA